rnacentral:rRNA from 1 species
UACGUAGGCAGCGAGCGUUGUUCGGAGUUACUGGGCGUAAAGCGUGCGUAGGCGGUUUUCUAAGUCUCGUGUGAAAUCUCCCGGCUCAACUGAGAGGGUGCGCUAGAAACUGGAAGGCUUGGAGUGUGGGAGAGGUAGGCGGAAUUCCUGGUGUAGCGGUGAAAUGCGUAGAUAUCAGGAGGAACACCUGUGGUGUAGACGGCUUACUGGACCAUGACUGACGCUGAGGCACGAAAGCGUGGGGAGCAAACAGG